rnacentral:rRNA from 1 species
UACGUAGGGUGCAAGCGUUGUCCGGAAUUAUUGGGCGUAAAGAGCUCGUAGGCGGUUUGUCGCGUCUGCUGUGAAAUCUGGGGGCUCAACCCCCAGCCUGCAGUGGGUACGGGCAGACUAGAGUGCGGUAGGGGAGAUUGGAAUUCCUGGUGUAGCGGUGGAAUGCGCAGAUAUCAGGAGGAACACCGAUGGCGAAGGCAGAUCUCUGGGCCGUAACUGACGCUGAGGAGACGAAAGCGUGGGGAGCGAACAGG